rfam:Schistosoma rodhaini strain Burundi genome assembly, scaffold: SROB_scaffold0000380
AUCCAGCCGGGUAGUCCCAAAUAGGACGAAACGCGCGUCAGACAGGAU